rnacentral:lncRNA from 13 species
UGUGUUCAUCCGUUCUGAGCUCAUUACCAAAGCAGAAGCAUGAGUUAAAAUAUGUCUUUUGCUAAUUUCUGGAGUGGAAGAGGGAACAAUGAAGCUGUAAGACACUCCAGGGUGGGCAUUAUGACCUAAUAAAGACAUGCCCUGGUAGUUUUGACAGAGUGCCAUUAACUGCCAAGGCACAUCAUUGCUCGUCUGUAAUACACACCCUGGAGUGUCUUGUCUGGAAGACGUAAAUGUUAAUUCCUAAAGAAACUCAUUCAGCAAAAGAAGACACCAAUGUUCUAAGAAGAGGAAUAUGUGAAAAUUCCACAUCUCCUGGGCUUGACCUGAUUCCAAGAGGAAUGGUGUCACUAUUAGAGGCUUUCCAACCUCCUUCCGGGAGCAGGCUGCUAUUGAUUGAAGGUGCCUCCAGGCUGAAACUCGUAGAUAAAAUAGCUCUUCUGUCUACACACAGAAAGACAACAUCAAAAGGGUGGGAUGUGAUCACCUGUUAUUCUGGUGAGGCUGGAUUUUGAACAAAGUAAAUUCUCAGGAUCACGUGCUGAAGUAAGUUAUUUGGGAAUAAAUUAGUCUAGCCACUGUCCUGCA